AUUGUUAAGGAACUCUGCAAAAUGAGUCCGUAACUUCGGAAGAAGGACUGCUGGUUUUAUACCAGCCGCAGCAAAUAGGCCCAAACAACUGUUUAUCAAAAACACAGGUUUCUGCAAAAUCGUAAGAUGAAGUAUAGGGGCUGACGCCUGCCCAGUGCUGGAAGGUUAAAAGGAGGACUUAGCUUCGGCGAAGGUCUUAAUUGAAGCCCCAGUGAACGGCGGCCGUAACUAUAACGGUCMUAAGGUAGCGAAAUUCCUUGUCGGGUAAGUUCCGACCCGCAUGAAAGGCGUAAUGAUUUGGGCGCUGUCUCAACAAUAGACUCGGUGAAAUUUAAAUUCCAGUGAAGAUGCUGGGUACCCGCGACAGGACGGAAAGACCCCGUGGAGCUUUACUGUAGCUUGAUAUUGAAUGUUUGUGCUGCAUGUGCAGGAUAGGUAGGAGACUUUGAAGUCGGAACGCUAGUUUCGAUUGAGUCACCCUUGAGAUACUACCCCUGUUGUAUGAACGUUCUAACUCUGAUCAGUUAUCCUGAUCGAAGACAGUGUCUGGCAGGCAGUUUGACUGGGGCGGUCGCCUCCUAAAAGAUAACGGAGGCGCUCAAAGGUUUGCUCAGAAUGGUUGGAAAUCAUUCGUAGCGUGUAAAGGCAUAAGCAAGCUUGACUGUGAGACUGACAAGUCGAGCAGGUACGAAAGUAGGACUUAGUGAUCCGGUGGUUCCGUAUGGAAGGGCCAUCGCUCAACGGACAAAAGCUACCCCGGGGAUAACAGGCUCAUCUCCCCCAAGAGUCCACAUCGACGGGGAGGUUUGGCACCUCGAUGUCGGCUCAUCGCAUCCUGGGGCUGUAGUCGGUCCCAAGGGUUGGGCUGUUCGCCCAUUAAAGCGGUACGCGAGCUGGGUUCAGAACGUCGUGAGACAGUUCGGUCCCUAUCCGUCGUGGGCGCAGGAAAUUUGAGAGGAUCUGUCCUUAGUACGAGAGGACCGGGAUGGACAUACCUCUGGUGUACCAGUUGUUCUGCCAAGAGCACCGCUGGGUAGCUACGUAUGGAUUAGAUAAUCGCUGAAAGCAUCUAAGUGAGAAACUAACCUCGAGAUGAGAUUUCCCAUUCGUCAGAAGUAAGACCCCUGAGAGACGAUCAGGUAGAUAGGCUAGAAGUGGAAGUGUAGUGAUGCAUGGAGC
rnacentral:rRNA from 1 species